rnacentral:rRNA from 1 species
UACGUAGGUGGCAAGCGUUGUCCGGAUUUACUGGGCGUAGAGAGCGCGCAGGCGGUCGUUCAAGUCGAGUGUGAAAGCCCCCGGCUCAACUGGGGAGGGGCAUUCGAUACUGAUCGACUCGAAGGCAGGAGAGGGAAGUGGAAUUCCCGGUGUAGUGGUGAAAUGCGUAGAUAUCGGGAGGAACACCAGUGGCGAAGGCGACUUCCUGGCCUGUUCUUGACGCUGAGGCGCGAAAGCUAGGGGAGCAAACGGG